AAAAAAGAAGAAAGGAAGAGAAAAAAACCAGCAAAACUGAUCAAUAUAUAUUUUUUUAAUUUGGUGGCAUAUUCUAAUAGUCUUUUAAUUGGUCCUCUUGCUUUCAAUCACUUUCCUUUUUCUUCUUUCUUUCUUUCUUUCUUUCUUUCUUUCUUUCUUUCUUUCUUUCUUUCUUUCUUUCUUUCUCUGUCUCACCUUCCUUUCUUCUUUGCUUCCUUCCUUUCUCUCUCUUUCUAUCUCUUUCUCUUUUUUCUCCCUUUCUUUCUCUCUGUCUUUCUCUCUGUCUCACCUUCCUUCCUUUCUUCUUUGCUUCCUUCUUUUCUCUCCCUCUUUCUUUCCUUUCUUUCCUUUCUUUCCUUUCUUUCUUUCUUUCUUUCUUUCUUUCUUUCUUUCUUUCUUUCUUUCUUUCUUUCUUUCUUUCUUUCUUUCUUUCUCUUUCUUUCACUCUUUCUCUCUCCCCCUCUCUCCCUCCAUCCUAUCUCUCUCUUUCUUUCUUUCUUUCUUUCUUUCUUUCUUUCUUUCUUUCUUUCUUUCUUUCUUUCUUUCUUUCUUUCUUUCUUUCUUUCUUUCCUUCUUUCUUUCUGUCUGUCUUUUCUGUCUAUCUUUCUUUCUUUAUCUCUUUCUCUCUCUCCCUCCCCCCUCUCUUUCUUCCUUCCUUCCUUUCUUUAUUUCUCUUCCUCCCUGUCUCCCUCAUCCAUAUUUCUUUCUUUCUUUCUUUCUUUUUUCUUUCUUUCUUUCCUUCUCUUUUUCUUUCUUUCUUUCUCUCUCUCUCUCUUUCUCUCUUUCUCUCUCUUUCUUUCUUUCUUUCUUUCAUUCUCCCUGUUUCUAAUAUAGAAUAUAAGAUACUUUAGUUUGUAAGAUCCAUUGGGGAGAAGUCUCUCCCAAUGAAUCUC
rnacentral:lncRNA from 1 species